AUUGAACGCUGGCGGCAGGCCUAACACAUGCAAGUCGAACGAGUGGCGGACGGGUGAGUAAUGUCUGGGAAACUGCCUGAUGGAGGGGGAUAACUACUGGAAACGGUAGCUAAUACCGCAUACCAUCAGAUGUGCCCUGAGGGGAUUAGCUGGUUGGUGGGGUAACGGCUCACCAAGGCGGCGAUCCCUAGCUGGUCUGAGAGGAUGACAGGCCACACUGGAACGGAGACACGGUCAAGAGUCCUACGGGAGGCAGCAGUGGGGAAUAUUGCACAAUGGGCGCAAGCCUGAUGCAGCCAUGCGGCGUGUAUGAGGAAGGCGUUCGGGUUGUAAAGUACUUUCAGCGGGGAGGCGUUACCCGCAGAAGAAGCACCGGCUAACUCCGUGCCAGCAGCCGCGGUAAUAC
rnacentral:rRNA from 1 species